rnacentral:misc_RNA from 1 species
GUAGUCGCCCGGGACGCCGCAAGGCCUCCCGGGUAACCUACCACCCUUUGUUUAUUACACUUUGUUGCUCUGGCAGGCGCUCGCCGGCCGGAGGACCUAAACUCUGUUUGUCUAUACUGCCUGAGUACUAUAUAAUAGUUAAAACUUUCAACAACGGAUCUUUUGGUUCU